ensembl:misc_RNA
UUGACAACCCUGAAGAAUGGAGUCUGCUCAUCCCCGGAACAGGUACAACACAGGCAAAACCACUGCAUUUAUUUCCACAUUGCCCUCCCAAUACAUCACAGCUGUUGCUCGAAGAGAGUACUUCUAGGAGUGAAACAACAGUUUAAUCUCCAUGUCCAUUCAAUUUCUGCCCUCU